rnacentral:rRNA from 1 species
UGGGGAAUUUUGCGCAAUGGGCGAAAGCCUGACGCAGCGACGCCGCGUGUACGAUGAAGGCCUUUGGGUCGUAAAGUACUGUCAACGGGGACGAACGCCUCAGGUUGAAUAGGUUUGAGGUCUGACGGUACCCGUGGAGGAAGCACCGGCUAACUCUGUGCCAGCAGCCGCGGUAAUACAGAGGGUGCAAACGUUGCUCGGAAUGACUGGGCGUAAAGCGCGCGCAGGUGGCCCGUUAAGUUGGCUGUGAAAUCCCCUGGCUCAACCAGGGAAGUGCAGUCGAUACUGGCGGGCUUGAGUCCCGGAGAGGGUGGUAGAAUUCCCAGUGUAGAGGUGAAAGCCUAGACACUUAAUGUCAGAAGUGCCAUUGAUACUGAAGAGCUUGAGUCGAGGAGAGGUAAGCAGAAUUUGUGGUGUAGCAGUGAAAUGCUUAGAUACCAUGAGGAAUACCAACAGCGAAAGCAGCUUACUGGCCUUGUACUGACGCAGAGGCACGAAAGCGUGGGGAGCAAACAGGAUUAGAUACCCGGGUAGUCC